AAAGGAAUUGACGGGGGCCCGCACAAGCGGUGGAGCAUGUGGUUUAAUUCGAUGAUACGCGAGGAACCUUACCAGGGUUUGACAUAUACUGGAAGACGCGUGAAAGCGCGUCGCUGCUUGCAGCCGGUAAACAGGUGCUGCAUGGCUGUCGUCAGCUCGUGCUGUGAAGUGUGAGAUUAAGUUCUUCAACGAGCGCAACCCCUGCCUCCCGUUGCCACCAUUCAGUUGGGCACUCAGGAGGGACCGCCGGCGACAAGCCGGAGGAAGGCGGGGACGACGUCAAGUCAUCACGGCCCUUAUACCCUGGGCCACACACGUGCUACAAUGGCCGGUACAGAGCGCAGCGAGGCCGCGAGGCCAAGCGAACCGCGAAAGCCGGUCACAGUACGGACUGGAGUCUGCAACUCGACUCCACGAAGUUGGAAUCGCUAGUAAUCGCACAUCAGCAUGGUGCGGUGAAUACGUUCCCGGGCCUUGUACACACCGCCCGU
rnacentral:rRNA from 1 species